rnacentral:rRNA from 1 species
GACGAACGCUGGCGGCGUGCCUAAUACAUGCAAGUCGUACGCUUCUUUUUCCACCGGAGCUUGCUCCACCGGAAAAAGAGGAGUGGCGAACGGGUGAGUAACACGUGGGUAACCUGCCCAUCAGAAGGGGAUAACACUUGGAAACAGGUGCUAAUACCGUAUAACAAUCGAAACCGCAUGGUUUUGAUUUGAAAGGCGCUUUCGGGUGUCGCUGAUGGAUGGACCCGCGGUGCAUUAGCUAGUUGGUGAGGUAACGGCUCACCAAGGCCACGAUGCAUAGCCGACCUGAGAGGGUGAUCGGCCACAUUGGGACUGAGACACGGCCCAAACUCCUACGGGAGGCAGCAGUAGGGAAUCUUCGGCAAUGGACGAAAGUCUGACCGAGCAACGCCGCGUGAGUGAAGAAGGUUUUCGGAUCGUAAAACUCUGUUGUUAGAGAAGAACAAGGAUGAGAGUAACUGUUCAUCCCUUGACGGUAUCUAACCAGAAAG